rnacentral:lncRNA from 1 species
UUCAUUGCACAGGAAGAUAAUGGUGAAACAGAAGUUAGCAAGAUGAAAAGGCCAGGAUUUGUGAAAUGCAAAAGUUGAAGAAGCAGAAGAUUCAGGAAAUAUCGGAUCAGCAAAAUGCUGCUAUGGACACUGAUAUGGUGCCUUUCCAUUCUAAAAAUGACUAUUUCUUGCAUUAUUUCGAGUUCAUGUAUUGAUUAUGCCAGUAACAUUUUCUUGUUUUUGAAAUAAUUUUUCAAGAAUGAUAAGGGAAAAGGGCGGUUGAAGUAUCCUCUGCAGCAAACUGAGAUUUUUGCUCAUUUUGCCAGAGGAAACCAGUCUGCUUCACAGAAAAUCAAAGGAAGGUACCUUUACAUUGUGCAUUGCAGAUAUGAUCUCGGGUACAUAUGUUCCUUUUGACAACCUGCUGAACAAUGUCUACAUAGGUCCUAACUUUCCUCAUACUUCAUAGUUGCUUAAUUGGGACUGAAAGCUUUGUUUGAUCCUUGAAGGGCCGUUUGCUAUAUAUUAAUAAUUGCCUAAUGCUGGAAUUCUUUAGAGGAAAGGUGCCUAUGGUCCAGUGGUCUAACCCUUGCCGGACUUCCAGUUACAUUUGGUGUUAAGGUUCCAUAUUUAAAGGGAAUUGGGAUUUGGUAACAUUUAUGCAAACUAACAAUGUUCAAUUGUAACCUUAUAUUGAUUGUUCUCUCCCAGUGGACAAAUAAACAUCUGCUCAUGCUUAAAAGUGAAGAAAACAUGUUUGUGAAGUUCAAGUCAUCAUUUCCCAGACCAUUUCUGUGUACAGCAUUCAUGUUUGUUCAGUGACAUUUUGUCUCUGCUUAACGUGUAGGGGUUGUCAUGAAUCUAAAAUAACUGAAGAGGAAGAGGAUGAAUAAUGUCUUAAGGAGGAAGAAGAUGGCUUGUCUGGUACGGGAAACCCACGGCUGGUGACACAACGCUCUUGUAAUCUCUCUCUUUCUCUCUCUCUCUCUCUCUCUCUCUGGUUUGAUUAGAAGAAGGAUAGUCUUUGCUGCUCGUAUCUCUGCUGUACCCCUGCUUUGACUUGGAGAAGCUGUAACGUUUGCUGCAAUUUCAGAACGCUAAAUAAUGUGGGAUUGUAAAUGUUCUUGGUGUCGACAUGAUUCCUUAUCACUAACAGUUAUAAUACUCCAAGUUCUUACGUUGGUGUUGACUAAGUAGAGAUUUUUGACAUCCCUUCCCGGCCCUUGUCUAGGUGGGAACCUCUUGCACUGGGGACAACCUUUAUUGUAUUGUCGUCUGGCUCCAGAGAGAUUCUGUUUAGCUCUGAUUAAUGCAAUUGUCUUGCCAACAGGAUAUCUCCAGCAAAUAUAAGUUAACUGCUUUCUUAAGUUCUAUUUGUAUGCUUUUUUGCAGGUACACAAGGAAGAUGAGGGAUUACUAGCUUGCUGGAUUGAAUUGGCUCAUAAGAUUGUAUAAGAAUGGCAUUAACGGAAUACUUGCACAGAUGAAAUGGUAGGUCACGAGCUGCAGCAUUUAGACCUGUGCAGUAUGGAAGCUGGAAAGGCUAGAAGAUGCAGAGCUUAGAGAAAAUUUGCUAAUAGAAAUUCCAAUGAUAUCUUGGAGAUAUUCAUCUUGUAAGAUCUUGAAAUUGACAUGCGCUGAGAUAACCAAUUAUCGAGGCUCCCAGAAGGUCUUGUAUGUCUACAAUGUUCAUACCGAGUUGAUGAUGGCUUUUCUGAUCUCUCCAACUUGAACAGCUUGAGAGAUUCGUCCUGGGAAAGCCAAUAACUCUCCUCCCCCAGUUGACUAGGUUAAAUAGACUGGAGUCUUUAAAGUUGUCCUCUUCGAUAAUGACCACCUUAUCACUAGAUAUUCCGCAACUUUCUCAUCUCUACAGAGUUGAACUCUGUCGGGAAUGUCUGUAGUGCCUCUCGAGGCUUCCCUCAAGUUUACCGUCCAUAUGUAUUAGACAUUUCCUAUCAGUGCGUACAUUAAUAGACCUAUCAACCUAGAAGAAACUGUAAGAACUUCUAAUUGAGUAUUGUGCAAUUACAGGGAUUCAAAGCCUUGAAAGUCUGGAGAAUCUAAAAAUUUUAGAGCUGAACGAGCUCCACUUACUGGACAAAUUGGCCGAGUGAGUGGCUUGAAGAAACUAACGGCUUUUCAUUCACAUCAUCUAGUGAUCUGGUUGACCGGAAUCACUGGACAAUUUGUCUAUCUUCUCCAGCAACUUUAUCCUGAAGUUUCUAAUGUGUCAAAGUGGAAGAAAUUAAAAUGAAUAGGCAUCCACCCCGGAGAUUUGAAAACUCGGCACAUUAUAGAGUUGCUUGAUCAAAUUUGGCAAAUUUCUGCAAAAGAAAAAAGAAUGGACACUUGCUCCGUUGAGUUUUUUUUCGGAUAAGAGGUGCUUCCCAUUCUGUUGUGCAUAUGUGUAACAAAGAGGUUUAUGUAAAUCUUCUUUUUAAGUUCACUUUGCAUGUUGACUGGUGAUAGUUCUGCAAGUACCCUUGUUCAGAUUUUCUUUGAUUUAAUUUGGUUUGGUUUAGAUGUUUUAAUGGCUUUGAAUUGCCAAUCAACUUACCUAAUGAGGUCAAGUCAAACUAUAUGAACUCUAAGUGCAUUAUUUUGUCAAUUUACUAUGUGAUGAUUUAUUUGAGGAACCUUAUAAAUUGCUACUUCAUCUUACUGAAUUUGAAACUGGUCAAUGCCCAUACUUCAUGUAGGAGAACUUUAAAGUAGCUGUUACAAUGUGUAUGAAAGCAUCUCAACACUUGUGGCAUCACCUCUAUGGAAAUAACCAACACAAAAUUGCAACAUGAAGAAGAAUAAUAAUUUACAUAGGUAAGCACAUGUUCAGUUUGGUUUUUGCAUAAAGCACAUUUCUUAAUUGGAUUCGCACAAGAUGAAGAGAAGUGGAAACGAUUCUGAAAUAAAUAAAGAAAUGUUCCAAUUCCAACUUGGUCUGACAUUAUUUAAUGUUUAGGUAAAUUUGAAAUAAUGACCCAAUCAUUAAAUUUCUAAUGAAUAGAAGUGUGGCAAAACUUUUUCUAAGUCUAAAAAUUUAACAUGAAAUAAUCUCGCGCCAUCUACAAGUUCUUAUCUUUUUGCCUCUUUUUUAUAUUGUUUGUAACAGAUAAUUCACAAGAAUUAACUGAGAUAAUGAAGAGCCACCACUUAAAAAACACUAUUUGAAAUAGAGAACUUUCACACUUGAGAUCAAGAUGAGUCAAUAUAUAUUCUUUUAAUCUUUAUAGUCAUUGAGAGGCUUCACAAAACUUUGCCAGUCACUAAAGAGGCAUUCAAGUUUGAUUGGGAAUUUGGAUAUGAUCAUUGAGUUGGGUUCCAAAUGAGAUUUAAUAGGUCACAUCAGAUUUGUGAGUGGACUUGUUAGUGGCCCAAAUUUCUAAUACAAGACCCAUGAAUAAUUUUUGCCAUCUACAUUGACACAAGACUGUGCAUACACAUCAGUUUUGUGUACUCUAUUUUAAUAAUAUUUUGUAUAAUAAUCAGCGCAAAACAUGGAUUUAUUGGGGUUAAAUGUGAAGGUUGCUUCACCUUGGAAUAAAUGUGAUUUUUAUAAUUCAAUUAAUUGCUAGGGGAGUGUCUUGGAUGAAGAUAAAGCCCGAUAAUUCCACCAAGCUUCAUGUUUUUAUGUCAAUUCGGGCCUGGGCCAUCUUAACCCAUUAAAUUGGAUCGAUUAGAGUUUGCCUUGAUUAGGAUUUGGUUUUUUUUUUUUUUUUUUGUGGGGGGGGGACAACAAACUUGUUUGGAAUUUUCAUGUCUACUUUUGUUGACUUUGACUUUGAAUGAAUCCGCCCAUUUAUUUGGGGGCAAAAGUGGAUUCUCAUCCCCAAAAUUUCUGCACCACAUAGUAAGUGAUUUUCCCGGUCAAAGAAACGUUAAUAAUUGUCAACUUUGAUAGGUUGGAGUGAUGCUUUGAGGAAGCUUAUUUAUUAAUUGAUUUGACAACAAAACUGGCCCACAACUCUCUUAGUAUAUUCAGCCAAUCCUAUGGCCCACAAUCCUGCGGUAUAAGAACAAGGGCUUUGGUAGUUAAGACCCUCAUGUAUAUGAAAAAUCUUUCUUUUCCUUCAAAAAGAGUAGGAGUUAGGCAGUUGAAUCUCACCUAUUUUAUCUUCUUUCUGAAGCUUUCGAGCUAUAAUGAAGGAAGCUCAAUUUUGAUUCAAAUGGAAGGAGUCUGAUUUCAAAAAAAAUUGCAAUGAGACUUUUGGAGUUUCAUUUUACUAAAAUAGAUGUCUAAGGGAGUAUAAUCAAAGCUAAAAUUAUCUAAACACAAAUUCGAUCUUUCAUUGAUCUCAAUUCAAGGAUUUUGAUACUUCCGAGGAAUUUUUUUUUACUCAUGACAUGAUUAAUAACUUUAAUAUUAUUCUACCAAAAAAUAAAAAAAUAACUUUAAUCUUAUUUUAUUUUGUCAUGCUCAAAUCUAUGUCUAAAAAAAUUUGAGAACUUAUUAAUUCCGAAAUGAGAAUUAUUUACACAUAGCAAGAUAUUAUCUUUCCUUCUUGGCUCCACCAUCACGUGCUUCCUCCAUGUUCUCCUUAUCAAAAUAUCAAUUAGUUCGUUUAGUCAACAUUUUUAUCCUAUCGAGAUCUGAAGGUCUUGCUGGUGUUGGCGCAUUCACACUUCUCAUGCACUGGCCUGCAACUUUGAGGAAGUCAGGUCAUCAAUUUUGAGGGGCAUGGGGUUGGGUUAGGGUUUUGGAAGAUAAGGGAUUUGGAGACGAGGAAGAAAUGUGCAGUUUUAAGCUUAUCAUUGAUCAAGCAAACCGCCACGUUGGAUUUUCAAUAUUUGCCUUUCAGCAAACUUUGAUGGAAUGUAUUUUUUUGGUUCCAUAGAAGUUUCGGAUUUUGAUGACAUGAAAAAUAAUUUGGAUAAUUGGCAUUGCAAUGAAUAUAAAGGUUAUGAAUUUUUAGAGAAUCAGCGUUUGCUAUCAUUCGCCAAUUGCUGCCAUCGAAUUUGCCGCCCCCCAUUGGCAUCAUAAGCCCUCAAUUUCAUGCUUUAAUCCAUUGGCAAGUUAACGUCUCACUCGCUCUAGACUAUCUUCUAUGCCUUCAUCUCUUUUUUCUUUCCACGCAUAGCUCAUAACCUAUGUCCAUAGAAUUCACAACUGACGGAGUUCGCUAGUCUCGCACGGCCACUGAUUUGGGUUGCAUGGCCGUGGGUGUUGGGGCUCUACUUAGUGAGUUUACUCGAUUUUCUAAGCAACAGAGAUAAUCCUCACCCGAUUAUCAUUAAAAUCAAUACCCAAAAAGAAAAAGAUAAAUAAAUUCCUCAUCAUGAGGGCAUAUGGGUUUUUUGGCAGCACACAAAAAGACAAAUGCACCUGAUAUUGUGUGCAGUGAAAAGGAGGAAAAAGAGGGUUGUGAUUAUGGAUGGAUGGAGCGGGUGCUGUCAGCUGUCGGUCGUCACAUGGGGUGCUUUCAGUUUUUGUUGACUUGACUCUGAAUGAAUCAUUUGGCGGCAAAAAUUGAUUCUCAAUCCGAAAUUUCUAUAUCAUAUGAUUAAGUGAUUUUCCGCGUUAAGAAAAACAAAUAAUUUACUUUGGCCUGCAGUGAUGCUACGAGGAAGUAUCCUUACUGACCAACUUUACAGCAAAACUAGCCCACAACUCUUCGCAUAUUCAUCAAAACCUUUGGCUUCCGAGUUCAGCGACCUCUCGUAAAGUCAUUUGAAAAAAAUCUUCCCUUUUAAUAUUUCUAUAGCAAAGAAACAAAGGUCUUGAUAUUUAAGACCCGUCUCUUUACGAAAAAUCUUUCUUUUCCUUUCAAAAGGAGAGGAGUUUAGGCGAUGGAUCCCACCUAUGUUCUCUUCUUCCCUAAGCUUUUGAGCCAAUGGAGGAAACUAAUUUGGAUGGAAGGAGUCUGUUUUUAAAAGAAUCUGCAACAAGACUUUUGGAGUUUCGUUUUUACUAAAACAAAAGUUCAGUGGAGUAUAAUCAAAGCUAAAGUUAUUGGAAAACUAAUUUGAUACUUCCAAGAGUCUUUUUUAACUCAUUGAGUCAUUGUGAUUAAUAACUUUAAUGUUUAUUUUUUCGGUCACAUUAGGAUUUAUGUCUAAAGACUUAAGAGCUUAAGAACUUUGGAAUGGAAUAAUUUUACACCUCUAAAUCUAGCGAGAUUUUAUUUUUUUAUUGUGAAACAUGCAAUGUUUAGUCACCACAAAAUCAAUUUAGAAAAUAGAAAGAUACUUGCAAAUAAACACCAGCCAAUCAUGUCAUGAAAAUCAAUCCAUAAAAAGUUAGAGCCGUCUAAUUUAACUAAAUGGAAAUGAAAAUGGAAUGUGCCCUAUACAUAUAGUUUUGCAUUGCAUCAAAAUACAAUCACUAAAUUAAGAAUUGUAUGAGAUCGGCCGAUAUGAUUUUGAUAAGGAUAGCAACAAUCUAAAACCUCAGCUCCAUGUGCCUUGUGUUAAUGCGGUGUUAGCAUUAGCUACAACUCUCCGAAAGAGAGAAAAAUCAGACAGAACAGCGUGUGGGGCGGUGCAAGAAGAGGGAAACCAAUGAUUGACCCAACAGUCCAUGGUGGACCAGCUUGCUCAAGAAGGAAUCGCGCCAAUGAUUGACCCAAGUCUACGAAGACUUGAACUACCAAAGGCACGCGCCAAAGCACUGGCGGGACUCCUUUUCCACGUUAGGAUGACCCCAUCUUCUUUUUUCUUUGCUAUAUUGCUCUAUUUCUUUUCAUUAUUCACUUUGCUUUUUAACAAGAAUUUCCCUCAGAUUCUUCGAGGUAGUUUUGCCGUGAAUUAUUGAGAUCCCCAGUGGGUUUAUUGCUAUGAGAAUUUUGUCAAAUAACAUGUAUCCAACGUUUCACAUAACAGAUGGCAUUUUAAUUGCAAUUGCGAGCAAUAUGUGGGUUUUUUUUUUUUAAUGUUGUAAAAAAUAUGUGCACUUUGUACUCAAUAAGCACGAGCUCUUCAUCAUUUGAAGUUUAACCAAUAAAUCUAGGUUAUUUGCAAGUAAUUUAAAUAAGUAUACUAAAAUCGAUACAUUAAGUGAAUAAAUAGAUUUGUGGAAAAAGAUACUACUCUUAACCAAAAAAGAAAAGAAAAAAAUAGAUACUACUCAAAUUGGAAUUCAAUACUUGCCAAGAGUGUUUUUCGACUCAUCGAGUCAUCGUGAUUAAUAACUUCAAUCUUAAAUGUUAUUUUUGGUCACACUCAUUUAUAAAUUUCGGAAUGAAACAUCUUUACACCUCUGGAUCUAGCGAGAUUUUAUUUUCUAUUGUGACACAUGAAAUGUUUAAUUACCACAAAAUUGAUUUAGAAAAUUAAACAAUACUUGCAAACAAACACCAUUUGUUCAGAAAUACUUUGAUCUUUAAAUACUCUAACCAAUCAUAUCAUCAAUCAAUAUAAAAGUUGAUACUGUCUAAUUUAAUUAAAUGGAAAUUAUUAAAGUGCUGCAUACAUGUGAUUUUUGCAUCACAUUGGAAUACAAUCAUUAGAUUAUGAAUUGCAUGGGAUUGGUCAAUGUGAUCUUGACACGGAAGUCUAAGACCUAAGCUCCUUGUGCCUCAACAUGGCAGUAACAUUAGCUACCUUUCUCAAAAAAAAAGAGAAAAAAAAAAAAAAGAACAGCGUAUGGUUGGUGCAAGAAGGCUGAAACAUCAUAGGAUCAGAGGGACAAAGUCAAAAGUCUACAAAGACUUGGACCACCAAUAGUCCAUGACGAACCAGCUUUGCUCUGAGAAGGAAUCACACCCAUGAUUCAUUCAUUUGGUGACUUUGUCCCUCACAGUCAUACUUCAAUAAACGUAGGGAUUUUAUCAAAAAGAAGGAAAAAUAUGUCACUAGAUCACUUUGUAAAAUCCAACAGUGACUCAUCAUUCUCCCAUGCACCCGUAAAAUUUACAUGGUAACAAAUCGAUCUCCAAUUCUCAUAUUCAUCGCACCAUUUCCUCAGGUCAUAUACCGUCACAAGAAAAUUGAAAAAAAAAAAAACUUUUAGGGUGUCUUAAUCUCGCUGAGAAUUUUUUUGUUGCGGGAAAAUGCUAUUAGGAAAUUAAAUUUUAGAUAAAGGGAAUCGGAAGAAUUUAAUUACAGUGAAAACAUGUUAAAAAAAAAAACUGAUUUUAUCGUAAUUGGUAAUAAGCGAAUCCACUAAAUAUGGCUUGUAUCAUUAAAAGUAACAUGGAAUGACUAAUAAACUAGAAUUGAUAUUUUCUUCAUUUAUUCUAUAUUCCAUCAAAAUAACAACAAUUACAAAGAAAUUAAGAUUGAAAUUAUGAAAUCAUAUUUACAUAGAUAUGAUCGUGCUUUAGGAGAAAAAUUGAGCAUUAAUAGAGUAUAUUAACUUUGAAGGGUAGCAAGAAAAUAAGGGUAACGAUUCUUUCUAGCCAAGUCGUUUUUCUCUAAGCUUAUUGUUUUCAGGGUUAAUAUCACGAAAAAUCCCAAACUGGUGCACUCAUGCUAAAUUUAUUCUAAACUAAUUUUUUUACCAUAAAAAACCAAAACUAACUUAUUUGUGACAAAUUUAAUUUUCAUUCAUUUCUGUUAAAUUGGAUUGAUACUAUGAAACAAUACAAAUCAGUACACAUGUGACAUAUAACUGAUAAAACCCCAUAUUGAUAAACCCAUCAAUUACCAAAAUUUAAUGUCUACUUUUGUUCACUUUUACUUUGAAUGAAUCGGCAAUCUAUUCGGGAGGCAAAAGUAGAUUGUAAUCCCAAAAUUUCUACACAGUCCAAUGAUUUUCUGCAUUAAGAAACAUGAAUAAUUGUCAACUUUGGGAGGCUGAGCAAUGCUUCAAGGAAUCGACCUUAUUGACCAAAUUUUGCAGCAGAAUUGGCCCACGACUCUCUUUGCAUAUUCAAUGACCCACCCAAAAGUCAUUCAAAAAUAUUUUUCCUUUUUAGUUCCUUAAUAUUUAUGCGGUGAAGGAACAAAGGUAUUUGAUAGUUAAGGCCCACAUAUGAUUUGAGAAGUCUCUCUUUUCCUUUAAAAAGAGUAUGAGUUAGGCAAUGGAUCCCCCCAUUUUCUCUUCUUCCUUGAGCUUUCGAGCUGAUGGAGGAAGCACAAUUUCGAUUUGAACGGAAGGAGUCUGAUUUGAAAAAAUCUGCAAUAAGAUAUUUAGACUUUCAUUUAACUAAAACAAAAUUUUAGGGGAUAUAAUCAAAGCUAAAAUUAUCGGAGAACAAAUUUGAUCUUUCGUUAGUCUCAUUUGAGGAAUUUGAUACUUUUUUAGAGUUUUUUUUUUAACUAAUUGAGUCAUCAUGAUUAAUAACUUUAAUCUUGAAAUUUCUUUUUGUCAAGUUGGAAUGUAUGUCUGAAAAGACUUAAAAGCUUAUUAAUUUCAUAAUAGAAUAAUUUUACACCGUCAAAUCUAGCGAGAUUUUAUUUGUCCUCAUUGGCUCCUCCCCACCAUUUGUCAUUAUCAAAUAUCAAUAGCCUCAAAUCAAUCAACAUGUGUACCAAUCGAAAUCCAAAAAUCUUGCCAGUGUUGGUGCACAUGGAUCACUCAUGCAAUUGCGAGGAACUUUGAGGAGGUCUUUUAGAAUGACCAUGGCAACGAGGUUUUUAGGGUUUUGGACAGGUGUGAGUAGAGUAGUGAUAGAUAUAGUCUUUUGAUAUAAGAACGUGCUUACAGCUGCAAACUGUAAGGGUGCAUUUGUUUGUAUUUCUGUUCAAAAAUUGUUCCAGAGAACAAAAAUAUAAAAAACUAUUUCUAUUCCCCGGAACAAUUUUUGACCAGAAAGACGUAUUUAGUAAACUUGUUCCGAGAAUAAAAAAUGAAUAGAAACACUUUUGGUAAAUUUGUAUUCUUUUUAUGUUUCUUUUAAUUUUUUAAUAUUUUUAUUUUAUUUUUCCUUUAUUUUUUAUUUUUUUUUAAUUUUUUUCUUCUUUUAGCCGGUCAUCGGCCAUGCUGAGGCCGGCGACCGGCCGAUGGGGGCUAGUAGCCUUGCCUAGCUACGGCGAGGCCGAGCCUUACCCUGGCUGGGCAAGCUUCGCCUUGCCAGAUCUAGGCGAGCCCGAGCUCGCCUAGCCAAGGCAAGGCCGAGCGUCGCCGGCGCGGGUGAGGCUUGGCCUCGCCUAGAUUUGACAAGGCCGAGCUCGCCCAGCCACCGGCGAGGCACAACCUCGUCGAGCCACCACCAGGCGACAUCGAGCCUCGCCGAUGGCGCCAAGGCGAGGCCAAGUCUCGCCGGGGGCCGGCAAUGCUCCGGCGAGGUUGCCGGCCCUUGACGACUGGUCGCCGACCAUGGCCGAGGCCGACGAUUGGCCAAAGAAAAAAGAAGAAGAAAAAGAAAAGAAAAGAAAAGAAAUGAGAGAGAAUUUGUUUUUCAAAAGUGUUUCUGGAACAAAAAAAUAACUUUUUUUUUGUUUAUUAUUUCUGUUCCAAUUUUGUUACGGGAGCAAAAAAACAGAUUUUGAACAAAAAUGCAAAUAAACGCGUUUCUGUUCUUUUUUUGUUCUCGGGAACAAAAAAACAGAAUGUUUAUUCAUAAAUAGAAAAAAAGAACACAACCAUGCACGCCCUAAUGUUUUGAUUUGCUGUUCUUUUGGGAUUUGUUUGCUCGGAAGUUUUCUAUCUUCUUCUCAUAUUUGAUUACGACAAAUAAAACAAAAAAUUCUUUCUACCAAAAAAAGAAAAAUCCCAAUAUGGAGAAUUCACCUGAUCUAUCGGUGCACGAGUUGGGUUUACAUGUGUCAGUGCACAGACAAUACCCGCUCCAUCAAUAGAGAGGGAGGGAGAGAGAGAGGGAGAGCGCUAUAUAAUAUGCUCAGGCAAAGACGCUAGUGUGAAGUAACCCGCAGAGGCAGGACGAGUUAAAAUUCAAUAAUACAAAAAGAACGAGAGAGAAAGAGUUUCUUUUAAUAUUUUGUUUUAGUCACCGGAAGAAAUUCAAUUGCUCCCCCAUCUCUCUAGAAAAUCCAAGGUUUUCUACUAGAGCCUUGGCUUCCGCCGGAGCUGCUGCUGAAGUUGCGCGCGUGGACAUCGCAAACCCGUCCGCCGAAACACCACCACAGUCUUGGCACGCGCGGCGAAUCGCUCCCUCCGUCGAGCCCCUGGCGAAGGACCCGUCGAUAUUUCACCUCGAUAGCUCCUUGCCAUAAUCGGAGCCAGAUCUGAGGUGAGUCUCCAAGGGCCCCACUUUUUGGUGUUUAAAAAGAACCCUGGCAUUUUGGCAACUUUGAUUGGCCGCAAUGAAUCAUUUUUAGUACAGAGAUCUCAUGGCUUGGAAGGAUUUACCGUAUCUGGCUGCCGCUGCUGUUGCUGCUAUCUGGUUUCGACUUUUUUCUCGAGGAGGAGAUCAAGCGAGAUCGAUGGAGAGGAAUGCAAAGAGACGGCAAGGAGAGCAAGUGACAUCAAUGGAGCGGGGUGCAAAGAGACGGCGCACGGGUGGAAAUGAUGGAACAGCGAGAGGCGCUUCUUCUACUCACGCUUCAACAGAAGGUCAAGAAGUGGCUACUUCAUCGGGAUAUGACUAUGAAGUAUUCUUGAGCUUCAGAGGACCAGAUACUCGAGUAGGUUUUAUUGACUUCCUUUACACUAGUAUGAUAGAUAUGGGAAUCCGUGCAUACAAGGAUGAUGAAGAUCUCCCAAAGGGAGAAGAGUUUGGCCCAAAACUUCUCCAAGCAAUUGAGCAGUCAAAGAUUUUAAUGCCUAUCUUUUCGAAUGGUUAUGCCUCCAGUGUAUGGUGUCUCAAAGAGUUAGUCAAGAUGGUUGAGUGCCAAAAAACAAAGGGACAAAAGAUCAUGCCCAUUUUCUAUGAUGUGGCACCUUUAGAGGUUCAACAUCAAACCGGGAAUUAUGGAGAGGCCUUUCGAUCACAUGAAAGAAAGAGGCGACAUGAUGAAAAGACUGUGCAAGAGUGGAAAGAUGCUCUCACUGUAGUCGGGCAAAUAAACGGAUGGAACUUGCAAAGCAUGCCCAACAGGUGACUUAUUUUAGCAUUCCAUCUCAUGUGUCUUGGAUCAUUAAAACUCGUUGCAUUUCAUAUGGUUUCUUUUCUGGAUUUGUGUUAGCCUUGUUGAAAUCGAAUUCUGUGUUAUUGAAGUUAUAAUGCAAAAAUCAAAAUUUUCCCAUUUUAUUCCAAGCAACAUUUUUUCCAGUUCACUUCAUUUAAGUACCAACGCUAAUUCAUCUACAAUGGAAUAAAUCCUUGAAGUAACACAUUUCGAAUUCGAUUUGAUCUUCUCAGAAUUAGUUUAAUGUUUACACAAUUUUCUCACUCAUUGUCUUUUGUCUCCAUCUAACUCUAGGCGAGAAGGUGAGUUCAUAAGAAAAGUUACCCAGAAGGUUUUCACUGAGUUGAAAAAGGCUUAUCUGGCAGUAUCAGAGUGCUUGGUCAGAGUCGACAACCACGUGAUUGCAAUCAUGGAAAUGAUAGGUGCUGGGACAAGUGAAACACGAAUUAUAGGAAUCCACGGGAUGGGUGGCAUCGGAAAGACAACUACUGCCAAAAUGAUCUACAAUAAGCUUUUAGACAACUUUGACAAUUGUUGCUUUCUUCAAGAUAUUCGAGAAACAUCAAAAGGUAAUGGCAUUCAAUGCUCACAGAAUCAGCUCAUCUCUGUCAUCCUCAAAAGGAAAUGCGUGGAUAUAAAAGACAUUCAUGAAGGAACUCAGAUGAUUAAAGAGAGGUUGUUUAAUAAAAAAGUCCUCCUUCUUUUUGAUGAUGUGGAAGAAGCGAAUCAUAUUAAUGCACUUGUGGGUAAACGUGAUUGGUUAGGCAGAGGGAGCAAAAUUAUUAUUACUACAAGAAACAAAGAUAUUCUUGAGGUUCCUGAAGUGGACUGCAGUUAUGAGCUUAGUUGCAUGGAUCACGAUCAAUCUCUUCAACUAUUUAGCAAACAUGCCUUCAGAAAAGAAAAUCCUUUGGAUGAGUAUAUCAACCAAUCCAAGAGGGCAAUACGUAUUGCUAGAGGUCUUCCACUAGCUCUUGAGGUCAUAGGCUCACUUUUAUGUCACACUAAAAAGGAAAAGUGGGAUCUCACAUUGAAGAAGUUGGAAAAUGUUCCUCAUGUAGCAGUUCAGAGUAAGUUGAAAAUAAGCUAUGAUGCAUUAGAUGUUCGACAACGGCAUAUAUUCCUCGAUAUAGCUUGUCUUUUCAUUGGAUAUAACAAAGAUAUUGUGGUUCAUUUUUGGCAUGAAUCUAAAUUUCCAGAAGAAGCCAUGGAAGUUCUGCAGAACAUGUCUUUGAUAAAGAUUGAACAGUUUAAUAAAGUAUGGAUGCAUGAUCAACUCAGAGAUCUUGGAAGAGAAAUAGUUUAUCAAGAAAGUAAAAUGAAAAUAGAGAAGCAAAGUAGGGUGUGGGAUCCCAAGGAAGCAUUGGAUUUGCUGAGGAGACCCGAGGUAAAAUCCCCCAUGCAAUAAAUCUCCAAGAUACUUAUGGAAUAUCUUCUUUUUUUAAAAUGCAGUUGCUUUUUGUGUUCUCUAGCACCAUUGUGACCCACUCAAUUAAUAUUUUUGCUCUUUUAACAUUAGAUGAAUGGUAAUAUGCAACCCCUUAAAAUUGUGAUCUUGAAGCGUUUCCCUUCAACUAUUUUAUUCUUAAAUUUUUCCUUUGGGCAGGGAAAAGAAGGAGUUGAAGCUCUUCAUCUCAAGUUUGACCACAAGAGGUGGUUCCAUUUUACCUAUAAGAGCUUUAAGAGCUUUUCAAAUCUAAGGUUUCUUCAAGUUGAUAAUUCGGAGGAAUAUUCUUAUGCAAAAACGAGGCCUUGUUGGAAUGAAUCGCCUAAUGUUUUCCCGGAGGAUUCAAAUCUCCUUCCACAAUUACGAUGGCUUUCUUGGCAUUAUAUUCCCCCAUCAUUUAAAAUUUCAAAUUUCUCUAUGGAGGAUGUGGUUAUUCUUGAUCUGUCUUGGAGUAACAUUACACACGAGUGGCAAGGGUGGAGCCACAUGAAGGUAUCUUUUAUGAUAGGAAAAACUCAUUAUUUCGUCUUAUCAUAUUUGAAAGUAAUCUUUGCAUGAUUUUUCUUUUCACAGGUGAUGAGGAAUUUGAAAGUUCUAAAUCUGUACUGUUGUGCUAGAUUGGAGAGAACUCCUAACUUCUCUGCUCAAUCAAAUUUAGAACACUUGAUCCUAAGCGAGUGUUGGGAUUUAGACGAAAUUGACAAGUCAAUUUGUCAAUUGAAACGCUUAGUUUCCUUAAGAGUAGAUAAAUGUUGGAAACUUCGAAGGCUACCACAAGCGGUGGGUAGAGAUCUUGCAACUCAGCAACAUUGCAAUUCGUCGGACAGGCUUUCGGAUACAAUCGGAAAUUUGGAAUCGCUGAUUGAGUUGGAUAUAUCUCGUACGGAGAUCGAAGAACUACCCGAUUCUAUCGGAAAGUGGAAAAAUUUGAAAGUAGUGAAGAUUGGCAGUGCCAUACACAAAAUACCCGAUGCCCUCUGGAUGAUUAAGAGCCUUGAAGAAAUAGAAGUCGAAGUUAAGCCUGAUUUUGAUGUGGAAAUUGGCGAUUGCAUCUUCGAAGAUCGAUGCUUGAGGAGCUUGCGCUUGACGUGGGCUAGAAUAAACAAAGUACCGAGACUUCCUGAAAGUCUCGAGAUUCUAACGUUGACUAAAAUAUAUAUGGAUACAUUUCCAGAUCUGUCAAACCUCGUUAAUUUAAAGGAUUUGACGCUGGUGUUUGGCCCACGUAAUGAUGGUGGGGAAUCUGGUGGGCCUGUGGAAGCAUAUCCAAUGCCGCGGUGGAUUGAGAAUUUAAGCAAACUGCAGUACCUCGUCCUGUGCUCCGAUUACGUGACCACCUUACCCACAGAUCUCAGUAGUAUCCUUCCUCGACUCAAGUCACUUUCACUCAAGGGUGAUCAUUUGCGUUGCCCCCCGAGCCUUCCCUCCAGUUUAUCAGGGUUCACCUUGAGAUCUGAAUACGUGACCACCUUACCAAAAGAUAUUAUAAGUCUCCUCCCCCAACUCCGGAAUCUUUCACUCUCGUGCCCUAAUCUGCAUUGCCUCCCGAGCCAUCCCUCCGCUUUAUCAUUCUUGUCUUUGAAAUCUAAAUGCGUGACCACCUUACCCACGGAUCUGAGUAGUCUCCUUCCUCGACUCGAGAGACUUUGGCUUGAGUGCCCUAAUCUAGGUUGCCUCCCGAGCCUUCCCUCCAGUUUAUCAGAGUUGGAGUUGACCGGUUGCAAGUCAUCAUUUUCCCUAGGGAAUCUAUCUUAUUUGAAAGAACUAUCAUAUCUUUGCAUCAGUGAUUGCGCAAUCUCAGAGAUUCAAUGCCAUGAUCCUUUGGAGAACCUACAACGAUUGCGGCUUUGGGAUCUUCCACGGUUGGAAACUUUACCUUCUCUAGGUAAUUUCAACAAACUACGUUAUCUUUAUGUAUCCGAAUGUGGUAAUCUGGUUGAGAUUCAAGGCGAACUACCACAAUCUUUGGAAGUAUUGAAGAUUUGUAAAUGUGGAUCUUUAAAGGAGUUGCCUGAUCUGUCACCCUUGAAGGGACUGAAAACGGUUAGAAUGAAGCGUUGCGGGAAUUUAGACGUGGAGGCAAUUUCUACGCUUUGCUGUGAGAAGUCAGUCGAAUUUGGGGAAGAAGACAGUGAUGUUGAAUCCGAAUCUCAGCAAGAAGAAGACGAAUUUGAAUUUGAAUCUGAAUCUGAUGGAGAAGGCGACGAGUACGAGGAAGAAGACGACAAAUCUGAAUAUGAGGAAGAAGACGACGAAUGAGUGCACGAUCUUUUGAAAGCUUCUCGAUCCACGUCGACAAAUUGUUCCCUCGUGUUCAAGCUUUAAACGGAUUGAGGUAAGUUAAUUCAUCCGACAGCCAAUGUUUUCCCUUUUCAGCAACGUAAUUCUUUCUCGGAUAUGAACAGUGAAGUUUCACAUGCACUUUUUAAUUACCUUUUCACGAGUUGAUGACUGCAAUUCUGAUAAAGGCAUUGAAGUUAUGAUGCCUCCGUACAAUCAAAGGGUUGUUAAUUAUGUACAAAUAUCCGUUCUCUUUUCCUAGUUUGGUUUUGCGUUUUAGCUAUAUUUUUUCUUGGAUGGUUUCUCCUUGCUUUUAUGUUUCCCAGCUGGAGGUAUGCAUGUCGAUUGCUUUGUUUUUAUUUGAUAUGUAACAAAUCAUUAGAGAUCCUUGUCGAUUUGCUGCUUCACACAUUUUGAAGUUUAAUCCUUGCCUCGCAUUGGAGGUAACUUUGUUAUGCUGUAAACAAUUCGAUGGAAUGUGUGUUGGAAGGUCAUAUAACUAUGGUUCUCAUCCUGGAACUUUAUGGCAUAGUCAACUCAUCGAUGCAAUUGUGAAAUAGACACUCUGUAUUGAUAUGCUUAUGUUAAAGUUUAUUUUCCAAGAAAGGUGUGCUUCUUAGUGGGAUUUGCAAAUGUUAUGGAGAAGUUAUACAAUGAAGAAAGACGGAUUUCACUUGGGUAGUGGCAUCAACAGUUCGCACAGCAAACUUCCAUCUGUGACAGGAGAGACAGGAGCUACUUAGCUUCUCUGAUGCAUCAUAAAGCAUCUUAUAGUCAAAGGCUAAUAUCUCAGUAAUCCUGGUGCGAAGGACAUAUGAUAAGUCUCGCUGGGGUCAAAAAUCAUGUAAAUGGACUCUUGUGUGAUCUCCAUUAUCACCUACAUCUUUUAGAAAUGGUUAUGCCUAUGUGAUUAUCUGUAAUAGAAGCCCAUUCAUUCACCUCAAGUUGUACUAGAGGACUCUUAGGUUUUAAGUUUGACAAGAACUGUGAAGGGAGACAUCUCAAACAACCAGCUUUUUGCCGGUUUCUAGUGUUGCUGAGGUUUUAGAGUUUGAGAAACUUACAGAAAUGUUUCUGUGCAGGGAGCCGUGGCUAAUUAGGCAUCUGUACAAAUGAAGACUGAAUGAAGGAAAAUGAAGAUGACAUUUAAUGUCGCCUCAAUUCCCUUUCACAAUCUUGGGGCAGCAAACUGUGCAUCCAUCUGUCGAGAGACAGAAACUUGAAGAUCAGGGAGGGAAGUCGUUGCCUAAUGAUGAAAUUGUCAAAUCUGUUGAACUCGAUGUUAAGUUUCAGUUGAAUGUUUGGCAAUUUUUUCCAGAGCAGGGCAGGGGUAUUCGUUGUGAAAUUUGUAGCAUCAUAUAUAAUGUUUUUGGGGGGUAAAAGGGCUAUUUGAGCAAACCUGAUUGUUUAUUAAUCUUUUUUGUGGGGCCACAGAAUGAAUAUUGCACUUCAUCUGGAUGUGUGUUCUCUUCAUUGACAUGCAAUAGAACUUGCUUAUCAGUACACAAAUGUUACUUUGUGAGGAAACACUCGAAGAGCUUGUCUGGACAGGGUGAAAAAUUGUGUGUGCUUAAAGAAGUGUUCACGGUAGUGCCUGCCAAAAUCAGUUCAUGGACUUCUUGAUGUGAAAAUGGUGCUCAAGGUAGUUUUCCUCAUGAGUAUGAUAGGCACUCACAGCACAAGAAACAGGAAUUUUUGGAAUUCAUGAAAUGGGCGGUGAUGUCAAUUGAGUCUCACCAAAAUUAUCUACAAUAGUUUUCACAUGGUUUUGAGUACUAUUGCUUUCUUUCUAACGAUCAUGAUACUUCAGAGCUCAAGGGCAUUCAGUACUUAAAGAAUUAACUCAUCUUUUGUGUCCAUAAGUGGAAAUUGACUGAAAUAAGUAAUGUUGAUGAAAGGAUCAAGAUAAUUAAAGAUAGGCUAUCUAGUGAAAGAGUUCUCUUCCUUUUUGAUGAUGUUUACAAGAAGAAACUAUUGAAUGCGCUUGGGGUAAAUAUCUAUGAUAUUCAGGCAUUACUGAAUUCUUUGACACUAAGUAUCGAGUGCUGAUGGAUCUCGAGAUUCUUAGUGUUUCACAUUGUUUAUAACUGAAGAUGAUCUCUUCCAUUGGUCACUUGACAUCUCUAUUGAGGCUAUCUUUCAGAACCACCACAAUUACACGUCUUUGAAAGAAUGUAGAUGUAUAUAACUUCCCCCGUCAAUUGGAGCUCUUACAAGCCUUGAAUACUCGUCUUUGAAAGAAUGUAGAUGUAUACAGAGGCUUCCAGACUCGAGUGGCAAUCUACAAUGGCUACUUGAGUUCAAUAUCUCCUACACCUGCAUUAAAGAGCCACCUUCUCGAUGGGAAACAUGAAAAGUUUGAACGUUGUGAGGACGUAUAAUUGUUCCAUUGAAAAGGUACCUAGUGCCUUAUGGUUGCUGUAAAAGCUUGAAGAAAUAGAUGCAGCAAGUUGAAAGCUUGCAACUGGAAACUAUAAAUGACAUUUGCAGAUAUUCUUCUUUGAGAAUCUUGAAAUAGACACUGAUUUAAACAUGACGAUACCAAGGCUUUCUCAUCUGCUUACACAUUGAUUCAUCGAUGAUGACACAUUUCAGAUUUCUUAAACUUGACUAGUUUAAAUGAUUUGUAUUUGGCCAUUUGACAAGAUGUUUACCCGUUGACAAUUGUCCACUUGUGGAAAAUCCUAUGCCAUGGCGCAUUGUGAGAUUAAAUAAAGUGGAGUCUUUGACCUUGUCGUCUGCUGUUGUAACCACCUGAUCAACAGAUAUUGGUCAGCUUUCUCUACUCAAAAGACUAGAACUUUGGUGUCCUAAUUGGCUGCGCCUCCAAAGGCUUCCCUCAAGUUUGUCUUAUUUGUAUGUUGAAUCUUGCUGGUGGAGGAGAACAGCGAUGGAUCUCUCAAAUAUGAAUAGACUAUCAGAACUAAGAAUGGUAAAAUCUGCAAUAACAGAGAUUCAAGCCCUUGACUGUUUGAAAAAUCUAUGAUGACUCGGGUUUUCCCCUUUUAUUUCAACAUUUCCUUGUGAAGUUGUGAUUGAAAGCUUCAUCAAUCACCUCUCACCAUAUACAAACUGGGAAACGAUGGCGAACAGAGCUUGUCUAUCUUGCUCUGCUUCUGUCUUUACAUAUACACAUGACUUCCUAAGUUGGCAAGUGCUUCCUUACGUCUGAAAUGUUGUUAGAUACUUGUAACUAUGACUUAGUGAGCAUCAGAAGUGUUGCCGCUACUUAUUUAUUUUUGCAUUCUUUUUCCUCAUUCAUUGCACAGGAAGAUAAUGGUGAAACAGAAGUUAGCAAGAUGAAAAGGUGAGGAUUUGUGAAAUGCAAAAAUUGAAGAAGCAGAAGAUUCAGGAAAUAUCGGAUCAGCAAAAUGCCGCUAUGGACACUGAUAUGGUGCCUUUCCAUUCUAAAAAUGACUAUUCUUGCAUUAUUUCGAGUUCAUGUAUUGAUUAUGCCAGUAACAUUUUCUUCUUUUUGAAAUAAUUUUUCAAGAAUGAUAAGGGCAAAGGGCGGUUGAAGUAUCUUCUGCAGCAAACUGAGGUUUUUGCUCAUUUUGCCAGAGGAAACCAGUCUGCUUCACAGAAAAUCAAAGGAAGGUACCAUUACCAAUGACAAUUCUCUCUGUUUUUUGUGCAUCGCAGAUAUGAUCUCGUGUACAUAUGUUCCUUUUGACAACCUGCUGAACAAUGUCUACAUAGGUCCUAACUUUCUUCAUACUUCAUAGUUGCUUAAUUGGGACUGAAAGCUUUGUUUGAUCCUUGACGGGCCUUUUGCUAUAUAUUAAUAAUAACCUAAUGGUGGAAUUCUUUAGAGGAAAGGUGCCUAUGGUCCAGUGGUCUAACCCUUGCUACACUUCCAGUUACAUUUGGUGUUAAGGUUCCAUAUUCAAAGGGAAUUGGGAUUUGGUAACAUUUAUGCAAAUUAAUGAUGUUCAAUUGUAACCUUAUAUUGAUUGUUCUCUCCCAGUGGACAAAUAAACAUCUGCUCAUGCUUAAAAGCGAAGAAAACAUGUUUGUGAAGUUUAAGUCAUCAUUUGCCAGACCAUUUCUGUGUUCAGCAUUCAUGUUUGUUCAGUGACGUUUUUCUUUGCUUGACGUGUAG